GGCCAGACUCCUACGGGAGGCAGCAGUGAGGAAUAUUGGUCAAUGGCCGAGAGGCUGAACCAGCCAAGUCGCGUGAGGGAUGACGGCCCUACGGGUUGUAAACCUCUUUUGCCGGGGAGCAAAGAGCGGGACGCGUCCCGCCUCGAGAGUACCCGGAGAAAAAGCAUCGGCUAACUCCGUGCCAGCAGCCGCGGUAAUACGGAGGAUGCGAGCGUUAUCCGGAUUUAUUGGGUUUAAAGGGUGCGCAGGCGGAGGUGCAAGUCAGCGGUCAAAUUGCGGGGCUCAACCCCGUACUGCCGUUGAAACUGGCAGUCUCGAGUUGGAGAGAAGUAUGCGGAAUGCGCGGUGUAGCGGUGAAAUGCAUAGAUAUCGCGCAGAACUCCGAUUGCGAAGGCAGCAUGCCGGCUCCACACUGACGCUGAGGCACGAAAGCGUGGGUAUCGAACAGGAUUAGAUACCCCCGUACA
rnacentral:rRNA from 1 species